rnacentral:tRNA from 1 species
GGAGAGAUGGCUCAGUGGGGAAGAGCAUUGUCUUCUCUUCCAGAGGUCCUGAGUUCAAUUCUCAGCCACCACA